CGGGACACGUGGUAUCCUGUCUGAAUAUGGGGGGACCAUCCUCCAAGGCUAAAUACUCCUGACUGACCGAUAGUGAACCAGUACCGUGAGGGAAAGGCGAAAAGAACCCCGGCGAGGGGAGUGAAAAAGAACCUGAAACCGUGUACGUACAAGCAGUGGGAGCACGCUUAGGCGUGUGACUGCGUACCUUUUGUAUAAUGGGUCAGCGACUUAUAUUCUGUAGCAAGGUUAACCGAAUAGGGGAGCCGAAGGGAAACCGAGUCUUAACUGGGCGUUAAGUUGCAGGGUAUAGACCCGAAACCCGGUGAUCUAGCCAUGGGCAGGUUGAAGGUUGGGUAACACUAACUGGAGGACCGAACCGACUAAUGUUGAAAAAUUAGCGGAUGACUUGUGGCUGGGGGUGAAAGGCCAAUCAAACCGGGAGAUAGCUGGUUCUCCCCGAAAGCUAUUUAGGUAGCGCCUCGUGAAUUCAUCUCCGGGGGUAGAGCACUGUUUCGGCAAGGGGGUCAUCCCGACUUACCAACCCGAUGCAAACUGCGAAUACCGGAGAAUGUUAUCACGGGAGACACACGGCGGGUGCUAACGUCCGUCGUGAAGAGGGAAACAACCCAGACCGCCAGCUAAGGUCCCAAAGUCAUGGUUAAGUGGGAAACGAUGUGGGAAGGCCCAGACAGCCAGGAUGUUGGCUUAGAAGCAGCCAUCAUUUAAAGAAAGCGUAAUAGCUCACUGGUCGAGUCGGCCUGCGCGGAAGAUGUAACGGGGCUAAACCAUGCACCGAAGCUGCGGCAGCGACGCUUAUGCGUUGUUGGGUAGGGGAGCGUUCUGUAAGCCUGCGAAGGUGUGCUGUGAGGCAUGCUGGAGGUAUCAGAAGUGCGAAUGCUGACAUAAGUAACGAUAAAGCGGGUGAAAAGCCCGCUCGCCGGAAGACCAAGGGUUCCUGUCCAACGUUAAUCGGGGCAGGGUGAGUCGACCCCUAAGGCGAGGCCGAAAGGCGUAGUCGAUGGGAAACAGGUUAAUAUUCCUGUACUUGGUGUUACUGCGAAGGGGGGACGGAGAAGGCUAUGUUGGCCGGGCGACGGUUGUCCCGGUUUAAGCGUGUAGGCUGGUUUUCCAGGCAAAUCCGGAAAAUCAAGGCUGAGGCGUGAUGACGAGGCACUACGGUGCUGAAGCAACAAAUGCCCUGCUUCCAGGAAAAGCCUCUAAGCAUCAGGUAACAUCAAAUCGUACCCCAAACCGACACAGGUGGUCAGGUAGAGAAUACCAAGGCGCUUGAGAGAACUCGGGUGAAGGAACUAGGCAAAAUGGUGCCGUAACUUCGGGAGAAGGCACGCUGAUAUGUAGGUGAAGUCCCUCGCGGAUGGAGCUGAAAUCAGUCGAAGAUACCAGCUGGCUGCAACUGUUUAUUAAAAACACAGCACUGUGCAAACACGAAAGUGGACGUAUACGGUGUGACGCCUGCCCGGUGC
rnacentral:rRNA from 1 species